rnacentral:lncRNA from 1 species
GUGAUCUUCCCAGGAUAACCUCCCUUUUCUGCUAAUGUAACAGUACAUGGGAUAGCAAAGUCAAAAUAAAAUUGGUCCUUGUUUGGGGGAGAGACGGGGAAGCUGGCCUCCUCCCCCAUGACUCACCCAGCUGGCUGUGAGGUUGAGAGAGUCUUUUUUAAGACUGGGAGGAGAGCGGAGGAGGCAAGAGAAAAGCUCUGGAAGGCUAAGCAGAAAUUAACUCUUCUGAAUAGCACAUAAGAAGCUUAGAGAGUGUCUGGAACAGGACCUGUAGCCUGGUAGACAUUCAACAAACAGCAGCUGCCAUUACUGUCAUGGAUUUGGUGGCCUCAAUUCUACUUUGGAGAGCAAGAAGUAGCAAAGAUAACCAUGUAAUUUUUAGAGCAUCUUUAUUCUCAACUGGAACAAGUGCUUCAAUUACUGAAGAUAUUAUUGAUUGAAUUUCAAGUGAUUUUGCUGCUUUG